rnacentral:rRNA from 1 species
GCAGCGGAGCGUGUGGUUUAAGUUCGUUGCUACACGAAGAACCUUACCUGGGUUUGACAUAGCGAGUGGUAGGGAGGCGAAAGCAGACCGACCCUUCGGGGAGCUGUUACAGGUGUUGCAUGGCUGUCGUCAGCUCGUGUCGUGAGAUGUUCGGUUAAGUCCGCUAACGAGCGCAACCCGCGUUGUGUGUUACAAGUGUCACACAAUACCGCCGGUAUUAAGUCGGAGGAAGGUGCGGAUGACGUCAAGUCAGCAUGACCUUUAUAUCCAGGGCUACACACACGCUACAAUGGUCAGCACAAUAGGUUGCCAAGUCGUGAGACGGAGCCAAUCCUCCAAAGCUGGCCUCAGUUCAGAUUGUAGGCUGCAACCCGCCUGCAUGGAGUUGGAGUUGCUAGUAACCGCAGGUCAGCUAUACUGCGGUGAAUACGUUCCCGGGGAUU